CUGCGGCUGGCGCGGCGUCGCUCUAGCCAGUAAAUGACCUGCGACAUAACUAUUUGCAAAACAAAUGGGGAAGACCAAGAUAAAGAUAAGUUAUAUCACAGGAAAGCAAUUGAAAAUGCAAAAAUGAAGCAUCUGAAUGAAGGACUAAUAACACUGAAUUCAGCUUUUGUGAAUCUUAUCUGCAGAUAUGUACAGACUACAUCCUAAGAUUGACUUCUGCCUCAACAGAAAUACAUGAGCCAGUGCCUUAUUGGAAAUGAUUUGCGUGUUUUAAGAACUGGUGUAUAUAGGUACAUCUUGAAUGUUCUGCUUUCCUUGCCUUAUGCCUGUACUUCACCUCAGCCUUCAAUUCCAUUGUGUUUCCUUGCUACUUGGUAUCUUGAAAUCUGGUACGAAACUAUUGCAUGAUCCCUGCACCUUUGCUUCUGCAUAUAUCAUAGCUCUCUUAUAGUGAGUGUGCACAAUCUAUUUCAUUUGAUGUAAUCAAAGUUUA
rnacentral:lncRNA from 1 species